ACGAACGCUGGCGGCGUGCUUAACACAUGCAAGUCGAGCGGUAAGGCCCUUUCGGGGGUACACGAGCGGCGAACGGGUGAGUAACACGUGGGUAAUCUGCCUUUGGCUUGGGAAUAACUUCGGGAAAUCGGGGCUAAUGCCUGAUGUUUACUGUCUGCCGCAUGGUGGGUGGUGGAAAGAUUUUUUGGCCAGGGAUGAGCUCGCGGUCUAUCAGCUUGUUGGUGGGGUAAUGGCUUACCAAGGCUUUGACGGGUAGCCGGCCUGAGAGGGUGUUCGGCCACACUGGGACUGAGACACGGCCCAGACUCCUACGGGAGGCAGCAGUGGGGAAUAUUGCGCAAUGGGCGUAAGCCUGACGCAGCGACGCCGCGUGGGGGAUGAAGGCC
rnacentral:rRNA from 1 species